GGGUCGUUAGCUCAGCUGGUAGAGCAGCGGACUUUUAAUCCGUUGGUCGCAGGUUCGAAUCCUGCACGACCCACCA
rnacentral:tRNA from 16 species